rnacentral:rRNA from 1 species
UACGCACGCUGGCGGCGUGCUUAACACAUGCAAGUCGAACGGAAAGGCCCUGCUUUUGUGGGGUGCUCGAGUGGCGAACGGGUGAGUAACACGUGAGUAACCUGCCCUUGACUUUGGGAUAACUUCAGGAAACUGGGGCUAAUACCGGAUAGGAGCUCCUGCUGCAUGGUGGGGGUUGGAAAGUUUCGGCGGCUGGGGAUGGACUCGCGGCUUAUCAGCUUGUUGGUGGGGUAGUGGCUUACCAAGGCUUUGACGGGUAGCCGGCCUGUGAGGGUGACCUGCCACAGUGGGACUGAGAUACGGCCCAGAGUGCUACGGGAGGCAGCAGUGGGGAAUAUUGCACUAUGGGCUGAAGCCUGAUGCAGCGACGCCGCGUGCGGUAUGACGGCCUUCGGGUUGUAAACCGCUUUCGCCUGUGACGAAGCGUGAGUGACGGUAAUGGGUAAAGAAGCACCGGCUAACUACGUG